AGGGAAUCUUCGGCAAUGGGGGCAACCCUGACCGAGCAACGCCGCGUGAGUGAAGAAGGUUUUCGGAUCGUAAAGCUCUGUUGUAAGUCAAGAACGGGUGUGAGAGUGGAAAGUUCACACUGUGACGGUAGCUUACCAGAAAGGGACGGCUAACUACGUGCCAGCAGCCGCGGUAAUACGUAGGUCCCGAGCGUUGUCCGGAUUUAUUGGGCGUAAAGCGAGCGCAGGCGGUUUGAUAAGUCUGAAGUUAAAGGCUGUGGCUCAACCAUAGUUCGCUUUGGAAACUGUCAAACUUGAGUGCAGAAGGGGAGAGUGGAAUUCCAUGUGUAGCGGUGAAAUGCGUAGAUAUAUGGAGGAACACCGGUGGCGAAAGCGGCUCUCUGGUCUGUAACUGACGCUGAGGCUCGAAAGCGUGGGGAGCGAACAGGAUUAGAUACCCUGGUAGUCCACGCCGUAAACGAUGAGUGCUAGGUGUUGGAUCCUUUCCGGGAUUCAGUGCCGCAGCUAACGCAUUAAGCACUCCGCCUGGGGGAGUACGACCGCAAGGUUGA
rnacentral:rRNA from 1 species